rnacentral:rRNA from 1 species
AGAUUGAACGCUGGCGGCAGGCCUAACACAUGCAAGUCGAGCGGUAGAGAGGUGCUUGCAUCUCUUGAGAGCGGCGGACGGGUGAGUAAUGCCUAGGAAUCUGCCUAGUGGUGGGGGAUAACGUUCGGAAACGGACGCUAAUACCGCAUACGUCCUACGGGAGAAAGCGGGGGACCUUCGGGCCUCGCGCCAUUAGAUGAGCCUAGGUCGAUUAGCUAGUUGGUGAGGUAUGGCUCACCAAGGCGACGAUCCGUAACGUGGUCUGAGAGGA